GCUCCCAGCGUGAGCGACGCAGAAGACGGGUGAUUUCUGCAUUUCCAUCUGAGGUACCGGGUUCAUCUCACUAGGGAGUGCCAGACAGUGGGCGCACGCAGGAUACUCAAACUUGAAACCAACCUACCUUAUCGUGAGGAAGCCUGGUUCAAAUGGAGAGGCCAAUGUAGGUGUACAACAGACAGUCCCAGCUGAAAGGCCCAGCUUGCACACAACAUCACUGCCAGACGAAUGAGAAGGGCCUUAUGAUGAUUCCAGCAUCAGACAUUUGACUUGGCCCAGCUUUUGCUGAACUGCAUCUUAAAUGGGCUCUUGCUAUAUUUGGCCUGACUGGUCUUGAACUCCUGGACUCAAGUGGAGCUCCUGCCUCGACCUUCUGAAGUACUGGGACUACAAGCAUAAGCCACUGUGCCUAGCUACUUGCUGUGUUUUAAAGAUCCGGAAGGGAACAGAAGACAAGGAAUGUGGGCACCCUCUAGAAGUUGCAGAAGCCAGAGAAACAGACUCUCCCCUGGAAUGUUCAGAAAGUGUACAAUCCUGCCAAGACCUCGGUCAUAGCUCAGUGAAACCCAUUUUGAAAUUCGGACCACCAGAACUUUUUGCCUUGUGCUUGAGACACACCCAGACCUUUA
rnacentral:lncRNA from 10 species